rnacentral:rRNA from 1 species
UACGUAGGGGGCAAGCGUUGUCCGGAUUUAUUGGGCGUAAAGAGCGUGUAGGCGGCCAAGCAGGUCCGCUGUGAAAACUCGAGGCUCAACCUCGAGACGUCGGUGGAAACCGUUUGGCUAGAGUCCGGAAGAGGAGAGUGGAAUUCCCGGUGUAGCGGUGAAAUGCGCAGAUAUCGGGAAGAACACCCGUGGCGAAGGCGGCUCUCUGGGACGGUACUGACGCUGAGACGCGAAAGCGUGGGGAGCGAUCCGG